AUGGUCAUAUUUGUAUCACUGUGGUACACGUUCGGUGGAGGAACCAGACUGGAUGUUAACUUGGGUAAUGUGCGCCCCACCCUGACAGUGCUGCCCCCCUCCAGUGAAGAGCUGGAGCAGGGGAAGGCCACGCUCAUGUGCCUGGCCAACAAGGGCUUCCCCUCAGACUGGAGUCUGGCCUGGAAGGUGGACGGCAGCAGCAGCAGCAGCAGCAGCUGGGAGGAGAGCAGGAGCCCCGGGGUGCUGGGGAAGGACGGCCACUACAGCUGGAGCAGCACCCUGAGGCUCCCUGCAGACCUGUGGAGGAAGGUGUGCUCCGUGACCUGUGAGGCCACCCAGGGCUCCCAGACUCCGCUCUCAGAGACACUGAGGAGAGACCAGUGUUCCCAGUCCUGAGCUGACUCACUGGCAGGGACUCUGCUACUGGUUUUACUCUGACACUGCUCUCACUCUGCUCUCUGCAACUAGCUCUGGCUUUUAUUUCACCUGUUUCAACAGACACAUUUACCAGCUUGUUCGACAAGUUUUUGUCAAUUUUUCCAAAGUUUUGAUCUCAUUUUCUGACAAUUGUCAGUCUCAUUUUGUUGUACUUGAGUAAUUCAUCACUGCUGCAACUGUCUUUUAUUUGAUGUGUAUUGACAGUGCUAUUUGCCAGCUUGUUGCAGUGUUUCAAUUAUUAUUUCAGUGUUUCCAGAUAAUAAAGACGUUUUCAUCAAA